rnacentral:rRNA from 1 species
AUUGAACGCUGGCGGCAGGCUUAACACAUGCAAGUCGAGCGGAGAUGAGGUGCUUGCACCUCAUCUUAGCGGCGGACGGGUGAGUAAUGCUUAGGAAUCUGCGUAUAAGUGGGGGACACCAGUCCGAAAGUAAUGCUAAUACCGCAUACGUCCUACGGGAGAAAGCAGGGGAUCUUUGGACCUUGCGCUAAUAGAUGAGCCUAAGGCGGAUUAGGAAGUUGGUGGGGUACAGGCCAACCAAGGGGACGAACUGUAGCGGGUCUGAGAGGAUGAUCCGCCACGCUGGUGCUGAGACUCGGCCGAGACUCAUACGGGAGGCAGCAGUUGGGAAUAUUGGAAGAUGGGGGGAACCCUGAUCCAGCCAUGCCGCGUGUGUGAAGAAGGCCUUAUGGUUGUAAAGCACUUUAAGCGAGGAGGAGGCUACUGAGGCUAAUACUCUUGGAUAGUGGACGUUCCUCGCAGAAUAAGCACCGGCUAACUCUGUGCCAGCCGCCGCAUUAACAC